AAGCACACGGAAUGUGAACUGGGU
rnacentral:piRNA from 1 species